rnacentral:tRNA from 1 species
GUCCCCAUAGCUUACAACAAAGCAUAACACUGAAGAUGUUAAGACGCUGCUAAAUGCAUCUGAGGACA